rfam:Blastocystis hominis, Singapore isolate B (sub-type 7) whole genome shotgun sequence assembly, scaffold_0
GCACGUUUGCCCGAGUGGUCUAAGGGGGUGGAUUCAAGUCCCACUGUACGGAGUACUCGUGGGUUCAAAUCCCACAGCGUGCA